AGAGAGAGAGAGAGUAUUCAAGGCAAUUUGUCACUAAUGAUUGGCGAUAACUUGACCUCUGCAAAGUGUUCUGUUUAUUUUAUGUACAUUGGCAUAUGUCAGGCACUAAGUAGCAAGUCACCAGGUGUCCAUUUAUAAUUUGAAUGAGUACAGGCAGUCUGGUUCUCUGGUCUGCAUGUGGUAGAGCUUUAUGCUUCUGUAAGAGGAGAGAAUUGAUUUCCUAUCUACAAAGAGGAGGGAGACAGAGUUCCUUACACCUCCUCCAGGGUCACAGAGAGGGAGUGGUGGAUCUUUGAAGAUUAGAGAACUUCAUUGGUUACCUUUUCUUAGAUAGAAAACCUUUGUAAGAUGGGAUGGAAUUGAACUUAACUAUUUUUGCAGGUGAUCUAAUCUGAAGCUCCAGGGCUAGGGCACACAGGAAAAAAAAAAUCUCACUAAAAACUGAAAUAGAACUGAAGUUUAUUAGGUGUCCUUUGACACCACCGUGACCCUAGGUGGCUGAGCCAGAAGGACUUGGACAUGACCUAAACUCAGUUUCUCUUCCAUCUCCUCCUCUGUCUGGUGCAGGAAAAUCCUGUGACCCAUCUGCACUUCUUUACAUCCAGCAAGACAGCUGGAAUUACUAGCAGCUGUCCCUAGCCUGUCUUAGCCUAGACAGACCAGCAUGUGGAACCCAUGAGUGGAGCGCUGAGCCUCCCUGGCUUCCCUCCAGGCUCACUCUGCUACAGGUGUAUAGAGCCCUGCACAUUCCCUGCAGAUCAGCUUGCUGGUGCUCACAGCAUAGAAGGAGCUCGUUAGCAAUUCCAUUUCCUGUGUGAAUGGGGCCAAGGCCACGGUGUUCUAUGGGUGGGAGUCAGCUGCAAUCAGACCCAUAACCAGCCCUAAGUCACUGACCCCCCCCCCCCCGAGCCCGCCUGCCUGUGGACAAGCAGCACCAUGACACCCCCAUCACACGGCCAUCACCAUCACUGGGAAGCAAGUCAACCGGACUCCUUCAUGUUGGGGGAAAGAGGCACUCCUACUAGAGAAAGAUUCUCAAACUAUCAUUACUGGGAACAGUGAUGCCCAAUGUGUAUUAGGAGUCAGGUAGGAAGAGUGAGGAUGUGGAAUGAUUCGGGAAGAAGGAAUCGAAGAAAAAAAUAUGAGGUUAUGUUGGUUAGCUAUGAUCAUAGUACUUUUUUUUAAACCACAAAAUGUAUUUGUGUGUACAUGAGGGCCAAAAAAGUCAACUAGUAUCUAUUAAGCAACACAUAAUAUCACAAUAUCGAGUUGGAUGUGGUUGGAAGUACAUUAGAAGUAUCUAAAUUACGCCCAUCUUUUAAGCCCUGACUUAAGUAUCCUGGCUUCUAAAAGCCUACGGACACAAGAAGAAUCUCUCCCUCCGCCAAUUUUCAUUCUAUUUAUUGUCUAUCAAAAGAUUCCAAGCUUUUGAAGGCCACAAAAUUUAUUGAGGACAAAAAUCCAGCAGAAGCCAAUAUGGAAAGCAGAUCUAAGCGGAGGGACUCUGGUAGAUAGAAGUGGGGAUAUGGUCGCCCUGUCAUCCCUCUGUGGACAGCCUGAGAAACACUGGGGUAUUCUAGAACACCACUUGAAAAGUGCUUGCCCGUAUCAGUUACUUGGCAGUUAACUGCAUACAUUGUCUGUGGAUUCUUGUUUUUUGUUUUUUGUUUUUCUGAUUCUUGUAUGUUCGUUACCAGAUUACAGAUUUCUAAAGGGCAAAGAUUCAAAUGGAAGAGAAGCAAGGGCUAGGAGUCAGGAGCCUGGCACUGCCACUCACCAGACCUUGCACAUAAGCCCACUCAGUGCGCUGAGCCUGCAAAGGCCACACCAGACCAUACGCAGGCAGUCCCUUCGUGGCAAUUAGAUUUUAAACAUCGGAGCCAGGGAGAGAAGCCAGGUGAGGAACGGGCAGGACCAGACACCAGACAGACCAGCACGUGGAACCCAUGAUGGGAGCAACAGCGGUUAUGAGGUGGUCUCUACCACUCCCAACGCUAGAAGCCAGGCAUUCAAGAAUUGGGUGAAACCAAGUCUGCAAACAGACAUCACUCUACUUUAACUUUUGAGAGAAAAUUAUGUUUAAGGAAAAUCAUAGCUAUUUUUCUAGAAUGUCAUUUUACAUAAUCUUGUCAAAUAACUUCAAGCCAGCGGCCAUGCUGUGUGGAAGCCCAAACCAGCCUAUGCCAGGAGACCCCAUGGAGAGACCGGGUCUAGAUGUUCCCGCCGACAGCACCAACCGCGAAGCCUAGGAGUGCGGACGAGUCUCAGUGAUUGCAGUCACCUGACUGGACUUCAGGUCUUCCCAGCGGAGACCCCCGACAUGGUGGAGCAGGACCCCCUUCCCCCAUUGUGCUCUGCACAAACGCCCGCGCCACCGAAUCUGUGCGCAUAAUAAAAUGGUUGUUUUGAUGCCACUUAGCUUUAGGGUGGUUUCUUUUACAUCUGGACUGAGGAUAUGCCUGGCAUUACUCCUUCUCUCUGCUUCCAGCCUCGAUUCUAGGAGCUGAGCAGGGUGGGAGUGGGGGAAAUCUCACAAGCCUGUGGUGAAAGCCUGAUGUUGAUCUUGACGAGGUCGAUCUGUUAAACCGACAUCUGCAACUGUCUAUCUCCAGACCUCCUGGACUGUGAGAAAAAUUAAUACACUUCUGUUGGUCCAUAACACUGAACGCCAGACUAUCUGUUACCUGGAAUUAGAAGUACCCCUGACUCAUACAUGCCAGCCCUCCUGUUCUCAAGACAGAGGCCUAAGAAAGCUCAUCUGGCAAGACAGGUCCUUCCACCGAGAAUGAGGGAGAGAGAGAAACCUGCAGGACUCAGAAUUCUUUGCAAGUGCAAAGAGGGAAAAGCUGACAUUGUUACAUGGGCUAUCAUUUUCUCAUCUUACGUGUGCAGUUAAAAAAAAUAGAUGUUAUUCUACAUCAGCAAAUAUUCUUAUAUGUAAUAAUUUUG